UAAGGAAUAUUGGUCAAUGGACGCAAGUCUGAACCAGCCAUGCCGCGUGAAGGGUGAAGGUCCUCUGGAUUGUAAACUUCUUUUAUCUGGGACGAAAACGGGAUUUUUAUCUCAAUUGACGGUACCAGAGGAAUAAGCACCGGCUAACUCCGUGCCAGCAGCCGCGGUAAUACGGAGGGUGCGAGCGUUAUCCGGAUUUACUGGGUUUAAAGGGUGCGUAGGUGGGCUUAUAAGUCAGUGGUGAAAUCUCCGAGCUUAACUUGGAAACUGCCGUUGAUACUAUAGGUCUUGAAUUAUCUGGAGGUAAGCGGAAUAUGUCAUGUAGCGGUGAAAUGCUUAGAUAUGACAUAGAACACCAAUUGCGAAGGCAGCUUACUACAUAUAAAUUGACGCUGAGGCACGAAAGCGUGGGGAUCAAACA
rnacentral:rRNA from 1 species